rnacentral:rRNA from 1 species
GGAGUUAGCCGGUGCUUCUUCUGUGAGUGAUGUCCUUCCUGCCGGUUAUUGACCCGCAGGCCUUCUUCCUCACUGAAAGUGCUUUACAACCCGAAGGCCUUCUUCACACACGCGGCAUGGCUGGAUCAGGGUUGCCCCCAUUGUCCAAUAUUCCCCACUGCUGCCUCCCGUAGGAGUCUGGGCCGUGUCUCAGUCCCAGUGUGGCUGAUCAUCCUCUCAGACCAGCUACGGAUCGUCGCCUUGGUGAGCCGUUACCUCACCAACCAGCUAAUCCGACAUAGGCUCAUCCGAUAGCGCGAGGCCCGAAGGUCCCCCGCUUUCCCCCGUAGGGCGUAUGCGGUAUUAGCCUGGGUUUCCCCCAGGGUUAUCCCCCACUACCGGGCAGAUUCCUAUGCAUUACUCACCCGUCCGCCGCUCGCCACCAGGGAGCAAGCUCCCCGUGCUGCCGCUCGACUUGCAUGUGUUAGGCCUGCCGCCAGCGUUCAAUCUGAGCCAGAAUCAAACUCUGA